CUGGAUUACCAGGCGCAUGCGCCUGUCCGCGAGCUGCUCCAAGGGCGGGCGCUGCGCAUGCGCCCGAAGUUGCGCGGGGAAGCCAGCGCGGUUCCUUCCGCCCGGCUCUAACAUGGCGGCGCCCUCGGUCUGCCCUGAAGUGCCGUCCCGCCUUCUUGCGGCCAUGACGCCCUCUGCUGCGGUGGGGCCCGGGACGCGGCGGGUGAGGGUAAUUCGCUGGAGGAGGAGAAACAAGCAGGAGUUUCCCUGGACAAGCUGUCAGAACAGAGUAGCCUGGGCUUCUUGGAAAUCUGAGUGUGUCCCCAAACCCCCACCUCUGGUGUGCAACCAAAGGAGGAGUCACGACUGUUCCAGUGCUGGAGGGAAAGCUGGCUGAGAGAACCCGUUCUGUCCCCAGUGCGACUGGAUUGCUGACUCUGAUGGCUCUGUCUUCAAGUCGGUGCCACCUGAGACUCAGAAUUGACUUGACAAGCCAGUGUGUUCUACUCCUGCACGUGUCCUCUCAAGCUGUGUUAAUGAGACCACGUUUCUGCUUGGAAACCUGUCUUUCUUCAAGAUUCAUGUGCACCGUUCAUGGCCCGGGACGCCUCACCUGGCGCCGGUGCUGGCUCAGCGCAUGUCUCGGUUUCUCUGAUGGCUCCAUGUGGCUUCUGAAGGGAGAAAAUUGUGAGCACACAAAGAAUCACUUCGACCCGCAUCCUAGUAAACAGGUGAGGCCAGUGAGAGUGUAAAGGAAAAACAGACCACUGCAGGUCCUGGAGAUGGGCCAGUCUCCUCCCGUCCCCAGCAGCAUGUUAAAGGGCAUAAUUCAGGGCUGAGGUUAAGGAUUCCAUCUCCCGUCUGUCUCCUUGGAAGCAGGAAGUCAGUCUCUCCUGUGCAAGGUACACUCUGGAAUCUGAGGCCUGAGGGUGGAGGGCUGCAGGUCCAAACAUCAAAGUGGCUAACCAAGGUAACGCGACGGUUUUCAGCAUGUGAGCUGGGUAUUUUGGGUAUGUCGUCUGUUGCCUGCGUGGUGUAAUAUCGAUCUGUUAAUGUCUCUGAUCUCAGUCAACUUAAACAGGUCUGCCUGGACGUGGAGCAUUGUCCAGCGAGAAACCUCCAGCAUAAAACUUCACAAACCACUUUGAACACAUUGAAACACUGUGGGCUCCGGGGAUGCCUGGACCCCCAAAACUGGAAAAGGCAGGAAGGAGCCUGGGGGAGCCUCUGGAGGGAGCGCUGUGCUGGGACACCCUGACCGCAGACGUCUGGUCUCCAGGACUGACCGGGGGCAGGCUUCUGUUGCUCCAAGCAACUGUGUGUGGUCGUUUGUCUCCACCGCCCCAGGAAGCUCAUGCAGCUGGAUGUAACGAAAGUCUUUAACGUCAAUGGUCAAGAGAGAAGAGAGGAAGCUGCAAACAAAACCGGAUGGAACCAGCUGGGACCACAGUGGUGGUGAAUCUGACUUCUGGCAGACCCCGAGUCUCAUUUUGUGGUGUAUUAUUGAUGUAGGGGAUAGAUGUACGGGAUAGAUGGGCUCUAGAUUAGACAUUUAUAACUGGCCUCUUGUUUGCAUUUCAUGGGACAUGAAGAAGUGGGCUUCAGGCUGGAUGCUUACAACUAUUAGCAUUUCUGAGAGAAGGGAGAGGUGGGCUUCAGUCUAGGCAUUUGCAGUCAGCCUCCUGUUUGCCCUCUGAAGUGGAAGUAACAGCAGAGACUAACUAGCCAGCGUUCGUCCCUUAUAAACACCUUAAGGUGAUAGUCAUGGCGAGGACGGGGAGAGGGCGGCAGCCUGUGUGAUAAAGGGCUCGGGGAUCUCUGUCCGAGACUUCUGGGACGCGGGGGCCGCUGCACACGCGCGGGAAGGCUCUCGGGUCAGAACUCAGGGGAGGGUGCCAGGCCAUGUGCGUCCUGCUCCUCCCAGGAGCCUUCACUGCGCGGUCCAUCCUGCCUGAGGGCUGAGUGUGUGCCCAGGGGAGGGUCCCGGGGCCGGUCAGGUGUGGGAUGAGAAACCAGGUAAUCGGCCUGAAGGAUGACAAAGACCCGGAAGAACUGCCCUAAAUAACUGACUGCCAUAAAUGGCCGCCUCUUUGCUGCGCUCCCCCUCACUGGGGACACCCACACCGUCCCCCUGCCUUGCUUCUGUCUUAGCCAUUCCUCUGUGUGCUCUCCCGCUUGUUGCUACGCUGUGUCCCUAAUAAUAAAUUUUAUAUCUGCAUUUGCA